rnacentral:rRNA from 1 species
CCUACGGGAGGCAGCAGUGAGGAAUAUUGGUCAAUGGGCGCGAGCCUGAACCAGCCAAGUAGCGUGAAGGAUGAAUGCCCUACGGGUUGUAAACCUCUUUUAUAAAGGAAUAAAGUGAGGCACGUGUGCCUGUUUGUAUGUACUUGAUGAAUAAGGAUCGGCUAACUCCGUGCCAGCAGCCGCGGUAAUACGGAGGAUCCGAGCGUUAUCCGGAUUUAUUGGGGUUAAAGGGAGCGUAGAUGGGUUGUUACGUCAGUUGUGAAAGUUUGCGGCUCAACCGUAGAAUUGCCAUUGAUACUGGCAGUCUUGAGUACAGUUGAGGUAUGCGGAAUUCGUGGUGUAGCGGUGAAAUGCAUAGAUAUCACGAAGAACUCCGAUUGCGAAGGCAGCUUACUAGACUGCCACUGACAUUGAUGCACGAAAGUGUGGGUAUCGAACAGGAUUAGAUACCCUUGUAGUC